rnacentral:rRNA from 1 species
UACGAAGGGGGCUAGCGUUGUUCGGAAUUACUGGGCGUAAAGGGCGCGUAGGCGGUUUGUCAAGUCAGGCGUGAAAGCCCCGGGCUCAACCUGGGAACUGCGCUGAGACUGGCAGGCUCGAGUCGGAGGAGGAUGGUGGAAUUCCAGUGUAGAGGUGAAAUUCGUAGAUAUUGGGAAGAACACCGAUGGCGAAGGCAGCCAUCUGGACCGACACUGACGCUGAGCGCGAAAGCGUGGGAGCAAACAGG